GCGGUGGUUCAGUGGAGAAUUCUUGCCUUCCAUGCAGGAGACCCGGGUUCGAUUCUGGCCAAUGCA
rnacentral:tRNA from 1 species